rnacentral:rRNA from 1 species
CCCUUAGAUGUUCUGGGCUGCACGCGCGCUACACUGAUGCAUGCAACGAGUUUUCGACCUUGCCUGAAAAGGUUGGGUAAUCUGUUUAACAUGUGUCGUGAUGGGGAUAGACCAUUGCAAUUAUUGAUCUUCAACGAGGAAUUCCUAGUAAGCGCGAGUCAUCAGCUCGUGCUGAUUAUGUCCCUGCCCUUUGUACACACCGCCCGUCGCUCCUACCGAUUGAGUGAUCCAGUGAAUGAUUCGGACCAGCGUGCUGCUCAGAUCCUGCGCAGUGUGCUGGGAAGUCUAGUGAACCUUAUCACUUAGAGGAAGGAGAAGUCGUAACA